UACGAAGGGGGCUAGCGUUGCCUCGGAAUCACUGGGCGUAAAGGGUGCGUAGGCGGGUCUUUAAGUCAGGGGUGAAAUCCUGGAGCUCAACUCCAGAACUGCCUUUGAUACUGGCGAUCUCGAGUCCGGGAGAGGUGAGUGGAACUGCGAGUGUAGAGGUGAAAUUCGUAGAUAUUCGCAAGAACACCAGUGGCGAAGGCGGCUCACUGGCCCGGUACUGACGCUGAGGUGCGAAAGCGUGGGGAGCAACAGGG
rnacentral:rRNA from 1 species